rnacentral:lncRNA from 1 species
AGUGAACUUAAUAUAGUAAACGGAAUGACCAUAUUAUGAGUAAAUCGUUAUUUUAAGUAAGUAUUCAUUUUUUUUUUUUUCAUUAUUGGUUCAACUAUCGACAAUUAACAUUUUAUUAUAUACGAUUAUUAUAAAGUUUAUAUAAUUAUUUCUAUUACUUAUAUUUCGAACGUGAUCGAAUUUCAAUUUACAUUUGGUAUAGUAGGAAUUUAUGAGACUAGGCCACUGGCCAGCAUUUUAACUAUUAAUUAUAACUAUUUUAUUACACUAUGUCGGAGUUCUGAUCAUAUCUAUAUAUUUAGCUAUGAUACAACUACAGUAGGUAAGUAAAUUUAUUCACUAUAAUUAUUUAGUUUUCAUUUUUGUGAUUGUAAAAAACAAAUAUGCAAAUACUAUAAGUUCUCUACCCUAGAUAUAACGAGAAAUGAAGUAUAAAGAAUAUAAAACAAAGCGCAUACCAGACUAAUUUUAAACCAUUUCAAAUUUUCAUUAAAAUAUUUUUCCUAGUUUUGUUGAUUAUUGAUUAUCUUUCAACUAUAGCAAUAAAAGCUUUAUCUCAAAUAAUCGGACGCAAUAUUAUCAGUAAUUUUAUUAAUAGUAAUUAAUAAUAUUAUUUAUUAAUUCAUUAUUAAAGAUAAUCCAUUUAGUCCCUCUCUUGUUUUUGCGAUAAAUUUAUUGUAAAGUAACAUGUAACAUUUUUUGUAUAUUUUGUUUAGUUAUUCUAAAAAAAACAUAUACGUUUUUAUUUUUAUUAAGUUUAUUUAUUUAACACUAAACAUUUAUAUUAAAAUAUUUAAAAAAGAUGAUAAUAUAUAUUAUUUGAUUUAUCCAGAUUCACAUUGUGUAUUAGUAUUUUGUGUUUACUUAUAAUAAUAAUAAUUAUUCUGAUAUAAUUACUACUUACUACUAAAUGACAGAUUAGACACAGAAGAAAAUUAUUAUUAAUAUUUUCAAUCACAAUUAUAAUUCAAUAUUCAUGAUAAAUAAUGAUAUAAAUUGUUUUGAAAUUUUUAUUUACAAUUCUUACUUGUAGAAUUUUAAGAAGGAAAAAUUUUUUUGACGUUUUUAUGCGUUUUAAUGUUGGCAAUAAAUGGCGUUUAUCAUAUGUUGAUUUGGAGGUAAUUCAUUUUACAAAUCUGACGACACUGCGUUAGCCAGACAUUGAGACUGGUGAGGGUAGGACUGUAUGGAUUUUCGUAUAUUGGUAUAGAAAAGAAGGUACUUAAGGAGAAAUUGAUUUUAAUGAAAUUAAGUAUCAUACAACACAUUUAUUGAUAAGAGAAAUCGGAUCUAAAAGUCUCAUCUAGUAAGUUUUAAAUACUCCUAAUGUUAAUUUACAUAGCAAUUGACACUUAGUGAUUCAUAAAAGAAAUUUUGCUAUGAUAAUGAAUUUAUUUAGACAUGUAAAUAUUAGCUAUAUUGAAUAUAAAUCGGCUACAUUAUUUUGAAAAAUUUGUGGACUUGAAGAUGAAAUACCCUGGGAGAGGAAUUUUAAGCUAAUUACCUUAGUGGUUAUAAACACGAUACUAGAUAACACAAUAUAACUAACUUCUAUUAUUAAUCAGUUUUUAACUUUUAAAAAAUAUAUCUGUCGUCUUUAUUGACCAUGUGUACUUAUUUGUCAUUCAAACAAUAACGAUUUUUGUUUUAAUUUUUAUAUUUAUAAAUUAACUUGUAAUUUGUAAUUUAUUUUAUAUAAUCAUUUGUACAUACUUAAUAAUUUCACUUGUUUUAUAUAUUGUAGGUAAUAUAAAGAAUCGGGAAAUAAUGGACUUAUUAUUACCGAAAAAAAAAUACGGGAAAUGUAUGCACUGCAGUAAGAUAUACCAAAAUACAACAGAACUGGAUACAUAAUUACAAUUUCACCCAACAGAUAUGAUCGUGCAAAGUUUAGAGGAUAAAUCUACCCCGCAGUGUAAAAUAUGCCAACGCUAUUAUUUUACAGCUGAUAAAUGUAAAACGCUAUGAGCUUCUAAUAGCCAAAAGAGGUUUCAGAAGGAGAGCGCUAAGAGCGGAAGUUGCUUUCAAUUCCGUGGGACACACCUAUCAAAAGAUCUUUUUAUUGCCGAGAAUGCAACACAAUUUGUAAAAAAAUGUUACACUUAGUAAUUAACAGAUUAGAUGGAAUCGUGGAUUAUUUUGAUUAAUUAUUGGUCCAGUAAUUUUUGAAUAUUACAAAUAUUACAAUAAUUUUAACUACUGUAUGACAUUUUUUUUAUUAUUAAUAUUUAAAUACAAUCUAAAAUUGUAUAAUAUAUCG